AAGUCGUAACAAGGUUUCCGUAGGUGAACCUGCGGAAGGAUCAUUAUUGAGUUUUGAAAUGGGGUUGUAGCUGGCCUUUUAGGCAUGUGCACACCCUACUCAAUUCCCAUUUUACCCCUGUGCACUUACUGUAGGCUCUGGAUGGCUGAAAAGCAAGGCAGCUUUGUUGGUUUGCUUUGAAACAUUUAGGCUUAUGUUUAUUAUCAACCCUUUGAAGUAUUAGAAUGUUGAUUAUGAUGUAACACAUCUUUAUAUAUAACUUUCAGCAACGGAUCUCUUGGCUCUC
rnacentral:misc_RNA from 1 species